UUUUUUUUUUUUUUUUUUUUGAGAAAAGGAUAGCACUCUAUCGACUUCAUUCAUUAAAAUGAUAAACUAAGCUACAAGAGUAAGGCAACACGGCCUCGGGGUAAUAGUAGGAAAUAUUAAAAUUGGAUUUCAUGGCCUUAGAGCACCAUCUUAAUCUUAGCUUUUUAGUUUGGUAGCAAUUAGUUCUAAUUAAGGCAUGUGAU
rnacentral:lncRNA from 1 species